CUGGGUCGGCCUCUUCCCUGCGUGGGGUCCUGCCCCGGUGGGAGGAAGAGGCUCAGACGCUUCCCUGUCCUCUCGCCUCGACCGCCGCGGCUCCCAGGAUGUGCACCUCGAAGACUGAAGCUGAGCCGGCGCCGCCGCGACCUUGCGCGGGUGGUCGGCCUCUGCCGUGAGCUAGAAGUCGAAAGUCUCAGCAGAUCCUUCCUGAGGGCCGAGCGACAGUGUAGUGGUGUAGUCUACACAGCAAACAGGGUGAAAAUGGAAAUUUAUCUUUGGAACUCACUGGCCAUUGUAGGAGAAACAGGUGAAAACGGAAAUCUGUCUUUGGAACGCACUGGCCAAAGUGCGAGAAACAGUAAGAUGACCCUCCCUUCAUUACGCUGGCCAAUAUGGUGCAGAUCACUUUGUGUUUCCACGUCAGAACUUUGUGGGUGACUUUGGUUCACUGCCAUAUCCCCAGCACCUCGAGCAGUGGCUCAUGCAAAAUAGAGUUUGAAUAAGUGUUUGUGAGAAUGAGUGAAGGCUUGAUCAAAAGAGGUA
rnacentral:lncRNA from 1 species